GUCACAUCACAUUGAAACACUGCUUCGCUUAUGAUAACCGAAGUUAAGCAACGUCGAUCCUGGUCAGUUCUUAGAUGGGUGGUCGCUUGGGAAUACCAGGUGCUGUAA